UACGUAGGUGGCAAGCGUUGUCCGGAUUUACUGGGCGUAAAGAGCGCGCAGGCGGUCGUUCAAGUCGCGUGUGAAAGCCCCCGGCUUAACCGGGGAACUGCGCUUGAUACUGGAUGGCUUGAGAUUGGGAGAGGGAUGCGGAAUUCCAGGUGUAGCGGUGAAAUGCGUAGAUAUCAGGAGGAACACCGGUGGCGAAGGCGGGUCUCUGGGCCUUACCUGACGCUGAGGAGCGAAAGCGUGGGGAGCGAACAGG
rnacentral:rRNA from 1 species